rnacentral:rRNA from 1 species
UGUAAGCGUAUACCAAAGUUGUUGCAGUUAAAACGCUCGUAGUCGGAAUUUGGCAGUUCCGGAUGUGUGCACGUCGUGUGCGCACUUCGCGGGGAUUGCUUUUGUGGUCUUGCGUAGGAUGAGGCACUUUUAUUAGUGAACGUCCUCACGCAACCACUUUUUACUGUGAGAAAAUCAGAGUGCUCAAAGCAGGCAUUUGCCGUGAAUGUAUUAGCAUGGAAUAAUAGAAUAGGACUUGGUUCUAUUUCGUUGGUUUGUUGGGACUGAGUAAUGAUUAAGAGGGACAGUUGGGGGCAUUUGUAUUUCGGUGCUAGAGGUGAAAUUCUUAGAUUACCGAAAGACAAACUGCUGCGAAAGCGUCUGCCAAGGAUGUUUUCAUUGA